GAACAACAAAGAGCGCAGUACCUACUCAAACAGCGUGAAGCACGACAACGAAAACGUGAUCUUGCACAGUCCAUAAAAAAUAGGCCACCUGUUGUUUCCAAACCUGAAGACCCCACUGUGAGCACUAUAAGGGAUGUUACAAUUACUACCGCGCAGCAGUCCAAUCUCACGCACGAUGUUAUUGCAACUCCUCUAUCAAGAUAUAAACAGGGUACAACCAGGAUAUGAUAUUGGCUUAAGAAGACAUUUGUCAUCCUUUUACUUCAACAGUGUUUCUCCUAUAAAUAUUAUCCAUUUUUUCAAGGCAAUAAUAUGGUUUUUGUUCUUAUCAUUACUAGGCACUGUAACAAAUUUGACUGGAACUCCCAAGCCAACUGUGCAAUCAUCUCGAGCUUAUCUAGGAAAACGACCCAUGAAUUGUAUUACUGAGCGAUACUCACAUGAAAAUAUUAUAGGGAGAAACUAUGCACAUUUAAAUGGGUCAAUGCAUUAUUCUCCUGUCA